CUGCUGAAGUGACUUCACAGAUAAGUAAGCAGAGAAUCAAUUUAGUCUUAGACCCUCUAUGAAUAAGGGGAAAUAAAGUUAAAGGAAAUGAAGCAAAUAAAGCAAGAAAAAAUACUGAUGACCAGAAAAGAGCAAUAUGUUUGCACCAGAAUAUAAGACGCAUCUCUCAACAUGUAUGGUCAUUUAAAUAAAAUCAUAUCAAGUAAUUUUGUUAAUUUUCUCUGACCAGAAUGAUGGAUGAAAAUAAAUUACAAGAGGAUAUCUUGCAAUAAGAAGACAAUAUAUAUUACAUAAUAUGA